rnacentral:rRNA from 1 species
CAGCCGCCACGGUAAUACGAAGGGUGCAAGCGUUACUCGGAAUUACUGGGCGUAAAGCGUGCGUAGGUGGUGGUUUAAGUCCGUUGUGAAAGCCCUGGGCUCAACCCGGGAAUUGCAGUGGAUACUGGGUCACUAGAGUGUGGUAGAGGAUAGUGGAAUUUCCGGUGUAGCAGAGAAAUGCGUAGAGAUCGGAAGGAACAUCUGUGGCGAAGGCGACUAUCUGGGCCAACACUGACACUGAGGCACGAAAGCGUGGGGAGCAAACAGGAUUAGAGACCCGUGUAGUCCCUGUCUCUUAUAA